AGGCCAGAAAGCCCGCGCCGCGACAAGAAAACAGCGCACGUCGUCUGCGACUGCGCGACCUUCGAGCGUAGCGAGGGGUCGUGAAAAGAGAGUUCCCUCUUCAUCCGCGCUUGGGCCGUUCAGAAACAGCUGAUCGCGCCAGGCACGUCGUACACUGCAGCGCUCUCGUAACCUGCCGUUUAGAAAAUUUUCCAAACCGCCGCAGCGACGAGCAAGGACAAGGUAACGAACCCAAUGUCGGGCCCUACUACCGACUCGGAGCGGCGAAAGCAGAUCAGCGUGCGAGGCAUCGCCCAGGUCGAAAAUGUUGCCAACGUGAAGAAGGCCUUCAACCGGCACGUCCACUACACGCUGGUCAAAGACCGCAAUGUGGCUACGCCUCGGGACUACUUCUUUGCCCUGGCCUACACCGUCAAGGACCACCUCGUCGGCCGAUGGAUCCGCACGCAACAGCAUUACUACGACAAGGACCCCAAGCGGGUGUACUACCUCUCUCUGGAGUACUACAUGGGCCGUUCUCUCACCAACACCAUGGUGAACCUCGGCAUCCAGAAUGCCUGCGAUGAGGCCCUAUACCAGAUGGGUCUGGACAUUGAGGAACUGGAGGAACUCGAGGAGGAUGCCGGUUUGGGCAAUGGCGGCCUGGGUCGGCUGGCGGCCUGCUUCCUCGAUUCCAUGGCCACACUAGGCCUGGCAGCCUAUGGAUAUGGCAUCCGCUACGAGUAUGGUAUCUUCACGCAAAAGAUCACCAAUGGCGAGCAGACUGAAGUGCCAGACGACUGGCUUCGCUUUGGCAACCCGUGGGAGAAGGCUCGCCCAGAGUACAUGAUUCCUGUCAACUUUUACGGCCGUGUGGAGAAGACCGACAAGGGCUUCAAAUGGGUCGACGCACAGGUUGUGUUUGCCAUGCCCUACGACAACCCCAUUCCCGGGUUCCGCAACAACGUUGUCAACACCAUGCGCCUGUGGUCAUGCAAGUCGCCCAUCAACUUCAACCUUCGCUUCUUCAACAACGGUGACUACAUUCAGGCUGUCCUCGACAGGAACCUUGCAGAGAACAUCUCCAGGGUGCUCUACCCCAAUGACAAUGUGUUCGAGGGCAAGGAGCUUCGUCUGAAGCAGGAGUACUUCAUGGUCGCGGCAACGCUGCAGGACAUCCUUCGCCGUUACAAAUCUUCCAAGUUUGGUCAGACAGAUGUGGUGCGCACCCACCUGGACCAGUUCCCGGAGAAGGUGGCCAUCCAACUCAACGACACACACCCGGCGCUCGCCAUUCCGGAGCUCAUGCGCAUCUUCAUAGACAUCGAAGGCCUCGAUUUCAACAAGGCUAUGGAACUGACGACAAAGACAUGUGCCUACACGAACCACACGGUGCUGCCAGAGGCCUUGGAGCGCUGGCCAUGCUCCAUGUUGCAGAACAUACUUCCGCGUCACCUGCAGAUCAUCUUUGAUAUCAACGCCCGUUUCCUUGACGACGUGAGCAAGAAAUACCCCGGGGACCACAACCGGUUGCGGCGUAUGUCGCUGGUCGAGGAAGAAGGUGAGAAGCGCAUCAACAUGGCUCACCUGGCCAUCGUGUGUUCUCACAAGAUCAACGGUGUGGCACGGAUCCACUCCGAGAUUCUCAAGAAGGACUUGUUCAAGGACUUCUACGAGAUGUACCCGGAGCGUUUCCUGAACAAGACCAAUGGCAUUACUCCCCGCCGGUGGCUCCUGCUCUGCAACCCUAGCCUGGCCGAUCUCAUUGCCGAUAAAAUUGGCGAGGACUGGAUCGUGCACCUGGAGCAGCUGACCAAGCUGAAGCCUCUGGUCAAUGACAAGGCAUUCCUGCGAGACUUGCAGAAAGUGAAGCAGGAAAACAAGAUGCGGCUGUGUGAGUACCUGCACAAGCUGACGGGCAUCAAGCUCAACCCAUCGUCCAUGUUCGACAUGCAAGUGAAGCGUAUCCACGAGUACAAGCGACAGCUGCUCAACUGCCUGCACAUCAUCUGCCUGUACAACCGCAUCAAGGCAGACCCCUCGGCGCCCUUCGUGCCACGCACCAUCAUGAUCGGUGGAAAGGCGGCUCCGGGCUACCACAUAGCGAAGCAGAUCAUCAAGCUGAUCAUCGCGGUGGGUAAUGUGGUGAAUCACGACCCUGUGGUUGGGGACAAGCUGAAGGUGAUCUACCUGGAGAACUACCGUGUCACCCUGGCCGAGAAGAUCAUCCCGGCCGCCGACCUCAGCGAACAGAUCUCCACUGCCGGCACAGAGGCUUCAGGCACCGGAAACAUGAAGUUCAUGCUGAACGGAGCUUUGACCAUUGGCACCCUGGACGGUGCUAACGUCGAAAUGCGAGAGGAAAUGGGCCCGGAGAACAUAUUCAUCUUUGGAAUGAACGAGGAAGAAGUUGAAGACCUCAAGAAGAGGGGCUACAACGCCUGGGACUACUACAACAAGCUGCCAGAAGCGAAGAAGGCCAUUGACCAGAUUAACAGUGGUUUCUUCAGCCCAUCCAACCCAAACCUCUUCCAUGACCUCACCAACGUUCUGCUCAACCAUGACAGGUUCUUCUUGCUGGCCGACUUCGAGUCGUACAUGAAGUGCCAGGAGCAGGUCUCGGCCAUGUACACGAACCAGGAGGAGUGGACCAAGAUGGCGCUGCUCAACAUUGCCUCGUCGGGCAAGUUCUCGAGCGACCGCACCAUCUGCGAGUACGCCCGCGAGAUCUGGGGCGUCGAGCCCUCCUGGGAGAAGCUGCCUCCACCACACGAGUCCAAGGGCGAUGAGGAGAAGAAUUAAAAAAGACGGUGGCCACACGUGGGACUUCGACAAAGGAGGCCCUAUUGCCCGUCAACCGCAAGCACGAGCUGCUGCUUCUUCUACCAACCAGCAACCCACCGAUGUCCAUGCUGAACUUACCAUCUAACCACCGUGGUUUUUAGUCCCUAGGCCUUGAGGCUCUGUUCCGUAGUAUAACUGAAAAAAAAAAUGAAAUACAAAAUGCUGGCCUCAUAAAGCAGUAGCCACCACUGAAAAACUUUAUUUUUGUUGCUGUAUUCCUAGCAUUGUUUGAACAAGACAGUUUCACCGGAAGCUAGAGACUUGAAGUGAUCAACAGAGGACAAACAAUUACUGUCUCUGGAACCAACAUUUAUUUCAUCAGCGGGUGGCCUUGAUAAGGACAAGCAAGUCCCUUGAUGAAUUGUUUGCUCCAGAGCAAACCCUUGUCUGUUGAUCCCUUGUCUGUUGAUCACUAGCGUGUGUUGGUGUCAUAAAUUGCUAAGGUGCUUCUUGAGAAGGUUGCGUACAAUGUGAAAGUCUUGUGGGAUGUGACAGGUCUGCAAAUUUAAAACUUACUCAAUGCUGUAAGUGAAAGGAUUUGCUGAUGCAAAUCUAAAGGUUUAAAUCUAUGGCUUAAUUAGAAGUCGUUCGUGAAAGUGAAACUGCGUACAUGGGAGCGCUGUGUCAUAACCAUUUAUUCGGCUUCAAGUGCUGCAAUGUGGCCGUACUUAAGGAUUAUGGGAGAAAGGUUGAUUUCGUUGAUCUGUCUCGCGUGUGUAUUAGUUGUUCUCUUGAAUAAUUUUCAGUCCCCUUAAAAUGUUCAGAAAUGAUGCUCUAGCAUUGGCAUCCUACAAACAGCCCAUAGCUCUUGACAUUAUAGUGUGUGGCCCUAAAAAGGGCUUCUGGCUAGGUAGUCAAGCAAUGCUGUUGGCAGAGUGUUCUCUGAAGCCAGAACAGUCCAGUCCUGUAGACCAUAAGUGAGGCACUGCUUUAGUGUGCAGUGGGACUAGUGUCAUUUGCCUGAUUAGAGAAUCUGUGAUCGUAAGCUUUAUUGUAUUUAGUAUAUAGCAUAGUUCAGCUCCUUUGUGCAGGCUAUCAUCACAAUCUUCAGUCGGUCUGGAGCAAGAAGAGUGCGGUGGUCUAGACUAUUUCUUAAUGCUUACUGGUUGGGGCAGGCAAGAUACAGAACACAACUUCAAACACACAAGAAUGACUUGCGAGUUGAGAGAGCUAUUGGUCUCAAUGAAGUAUGCCCAGUGCCACCUACUCUAAUAUUUCGAGUCAUCAACCAUGCCCCCAGAACACAAGUCGUCCUCCAAGAAAGGGAAGUUCUCGGUACCUUAAGGGCUGAAAAAAUCCCUUCUUUUGAGCACCGAGAUAUACCGGCCACAACCAAUAAUGGAAGUGUCGUAAAAAUUUGCCAUAAACAUCCUAUAAUGCUUCGUUUGGCACGCGAUCAAAAGUCAUUGUAUGAGAUGCCGAGACAAGUAAAAAGUAUUUCAAGAGAAUUGGAACGUUCUUGGCUUCCUUGAAGCUGUGUUUGCAGGAGCUUUGAACUGGCAACUUAGUGACUGGUUCUUGUAGGCACCAGUCACUGCUUUUGAUUGCAUAGGAUUGCACGUGUGGCUCUUGAAAAAGCAUGGAAAAGGGGAAAGUAAACUUAGGAAGUGGGCAACCUGUCAAAGAUGUGGGACUACUUGGGAUAUUCUGGUACGCUUCGAUUUUUUUCUUUCUUGCACAAUGUGCUUACAUUGCAAUCUGGCAGCCACAUUAUGUUUGCGAUAGUUGCAUCGCAAUUGAAUGGUCACAUUGCUCACGUCUUGCAGCGGGGUGGCCAGUAGUAGCACAUUGUGGAGAGUUUAAUGUAGAGAAAAACCGUACUUACUACGUUGAUAAAAUUACGUAAGCUCAGUAUUCUUUCUGGGUUUUUCACCAUCCUUUCUGCAUUUCGAAAAAUUAUUACAAAUGGACAACUUGUAAAGCUGUGCCAUCGAAAGUUCUUUGAUGACUGGCUUUGAACUACAGAACAAUCCCAGUGUGUCUUACACUGGCACAGGCUGUGAUGGACACAGACAGCUUUCACAUCUUAAGACGCAAGCAGCAGCAAAUGUUUUCGAUUUGCGGGCAAUCGCCUAUAGCCUCGGAACACCAGUCUUGUGGAAAGAGACCUGCUCGCAUCAGUUUCCCUACGAACUGCAAUUCCUCAGUGGAUGACGGGUGCCAAGUUAUGGUCUCUGCCAUCUUGAAAGCGUACUGCAUACUGCCCAUAUGUGAUCCUAGUUGUCUGUCAUUGUGUUUCUAGAGAAGACUGCUUUUUAUCACUCCUGCAAGCUCGUGAUGUCCAACUUGUUUUUAAUGCAAUUUACCCAUUUUCUUUCUUCCUUUGCUACUGCUGUUAUUUAAGCUCUGUUAUUGUCUUUCAGACAACUCACCUAUUUUUUGUUGUUGAUUUGCCAUUUGCGUGGAAUGUUAUGUGUUGCACGUCGUUCACAUCCUUUAUCUAGGUAGCAAUAAAUUUUUUGAAGUCUUUCACUGUAGCCUCCAUAUUGCCCCAAAAUGGCUGAAGCUGUGCUCUUUCUUGCCAAAAGGACGGCCGUGGUUCCUGAAUGGUUCUUCCCCAUUUCCUGCCAUGGCUCAGAACCUCUAAAUAUAUGCCAGCUGCUUUAUUCUAAGGCAGUCAUGGUCAGAGACAUUUUGGGUAAAUAGUGAAGAACGGAAAAAAUGUAUCAGUGUUUGGUGCAAGCAUUGCAAACUGUUCCUGUUUAAGUAUGUGUUGUAGUUAUUGCGGCGUGCUGCACUCAUGUCAAAUGUGGCAGUCGCACAAAUAUCCACGAUAAUGAUUAAAGACAUGUUGAAACCUUGAA
rnacentral:misc_RNA from 1 species